rnacentral:rRNA from 1 species
UACAGAGGGGGCAAGCGUUGUUCGGAAUUACUGGGCGUAAAGGGCGCGUAGGCGGCCUUCUAAGUCGAACGUGAAAUCCCUGGGCUCAACCCGGGAACUGCGUCCGAGACUGGCAUGCUUGAAUCCGGGAGAGGGAUGUGGAAUUCCAGGUGUAGCGGUGAAAUGCGUAGAUAUCUGGAGGAACAUCGGUGGCGAAGGCGGCAUCCUGGACCGGUAUUGACGCUGAGGCGCGAAAGCCAGGGGAGCAAACGGG